GGUCAAGCUAAUAAGGGCUAACGGUGGAUACCU
rnacentral:rRNA from 1 species